rnacentral:rRNA from 1 species
GGUGCUGAAGUGACAAAUGCCCUGCUUCCAGGAAAAGCCUCUAAGCAUCAGGUAACAUCAAAUCGUACCCCAAACCGACACAGGUGGUCAGGUAGAGAAUACCAAGGCGCUUGAGAGAACUCGGGUGAAGGAACUAGGCAAAAUGGUGCCGUAACUUCGGGAGAAGGCACGCUGAUAUGUAGGUGAAGCGACUUGCUCGUGGAGCUGAAAUCAGUCGAAGAUACCAGCUGGCUGCAACUGUUUAUUAAAAACACAGCACUGUGCAAACACGAAAGUGGACGUAUACGGUGUGACGCCUGCCCGGUGCCGGAAGGUUAAUUGAUGGGGUUAGCGGUAACGCGAAGCUCUUGAUCGAAGCCCCGGUAAACGGCGGCCGUAACUAUAACGGUCCUAAGGUAGCGAAAUUCCUUGUCGGGUAAGUUCCGACCUGCACGAAUGGCGUAAUGAUGGCCAGGCUGUCUCCACCCGAGACUCAGUGAAAUUGAACUCGCUGUGAAGAUGCAGUGUACCCGCGGCAAGACGGAAAGACCCCGUGAACCUUUACUAUAGCUUGACACUGAACAUUGAGCCUUGAUGUGUAGGAUAGGUGGGAGGCUUUGAAGUGUGGACGCCAGUCUGCAUGGAGCCGACCUUGAAAUACCACCCUUUAAUGUUUGAUGUUCUAACGUUGGCCCGUAAUCCGGGUUGCGGACAGUGUCUGGUGGGUAGUUUGACUGGGGCGGUCUCCUCCUAAAGAGUAACGGAGGAGCACGAAGGUUGGCUAAUCCUGGUCGGACAUCAGGAGGUUAGUGCAAUGGCAUAAGCCAGCUUGACUGCGAGCGUGACGGCGCGAGCAGGUGCGAAAGCAGGUCAUAGUGAUCCGGUGGUUCUGAAUGGAAGGGCCAUCGCUCAACGGAUAAAAGGUACUCCGGGGAUAACAGGCUGAUACCGCCCAAGAGUUCAUAUCGACGGCGGUGUUUGGCACCUCGAUGUCGGCUCAUCACAUCCUGGGGCUGAAGUAGGUCCCAAGGGUAUGGCUGUUCGCCAUUUAAAGUGGUACGCGAGCUGGGUUUAGAACGUCGUGAGACAGUUCGGUCCCUAUCUGCCGUGGGCGCUGGAGAACUGAGGGGGGCUGCUCCUAGUACGAGAGGACCGGAGUGGACGCAUCACUGGUGUUCGGGUUGUCAUGCCAAUGGCACUGCCCGGUAGCUAAAUGCGGAAGAGAUAAGUGCUGAAAGCAUCUAAGCACGAAACUUGC